rnacentral:snoRNA from 1 species
UGGUGUAUGCCUAUAGUCCCAGUUACUUAUGAGGCUAUGGCAUGAGGAUUGCUUGAGCCCAGGAGUUUCAGGCUGCAGUAAGCCAUGAUCACACCACUGCACUCCAGCCUGGGCAA